AAUUGAAAUGUGGUCUUUUCUUCUAGAAAUGUCACAACACUGGUUCCAAUCAUCUGUAUAUUUUACAAUGUAAUUCUUUUAUAAGUACUUCUCCAAAGAAUUAGGUAGAUGAAUCACAUAUAGAUAUACAUAUUAAAUGGAAAAAGUCUAAUUUUUUUCCCCUCCAAAUCUAAAAGAGUAAUCCAAACCAGAACUUGGAUAUAUAUACAAAGGCUCUCUCUCC
rnacentral:misc_RNA from 1 species